CGCACAGAUGCAGACAUGACAGGCACACCGUUCUGUGUGUUCAUUCGUAUGUCCACGAAGACAGAGAUCCCAACCGAACGCAAGCUCGUGGCGCCCGUCCAGAACGUAAAAAAGAAAAAGAAAAAGAAAAGAAAGAAAGGUCGAGAGAGAAAACUAUAUUCCUCCCUCCUCAUCACAUAUGAUACGGGGAACGUGGGAGCAAAAUAAAUGAACAUGAGCAGGAUCCGACCUGAGGGAGCAGAAAAUAUCACGGCACACGCCCACUAAGUUGACUUCUUUUACUGCGACUUCGCAUUCAAGACACGGCACGUCUUGGGAAGCAGCAGCAUAUACUCUAGGGUUUUUCCCGCCCUGGUUGCCGUCUCAGAUAUUACGGUUUGUUAGAAUAGGGU